GAGAGAGUGGCAUAGUGGUUUGGGUGUUGGACAAUGACUCUAGAGGCCAGGGUUCGAAUCCCGGCUGGGCCA